CCUACGGGAGGCAGCAGUGAGGAAUAUUGGUCAAUGGCCGGAAGGCUGAACCAGCCAAGCCGCGUGAGGGAGGAAGGCGCCAAGCGUUGUAAACCUCUUUUGUCGGGGGACAAAAGCCGGCACGAGCCCGGUCCCGAGGGUCCCCGGAGAAAAAGCAUCGGCUAACUCCGUGCCAGCAGCCGCGGUAAUACGGAGGAUGCGAGCGUUAUCCGGAUUUAUUGGGUUUAAAGGGGGCGCAGGCGGACUGUUAAGUCAGCGGUAAAAGGGCGGGGCUCAACCCCGGCGAGCCGUUGAAACUGGGGGUCUUGAGUGUGCGAGAGGUAUGCGGAAUGCGCGGGGUAGCGGUGAAAUGCAUAGAUAUCACGCAGAACCCCGAUUGCGAAGGCAGCAUACCGGCGCGCAACUGACGCUCAGGCACGAAAGUGUGGGUAUCGAACAGGAUUAGAUACCCCUGUAGUC
rnacentral:rRNA from 1 species